rnacentral:tRNA from 2 species
GACUCGGUAGCUUUGUUGGUAAAGCGCUCGUCAAGCAUACAAGAGUCCUGGGUUCGAAUCUCAACCGAGCA